ACUUAAAUUGAAGAGUUUGAUCAUGGCUCAGAUUGAACGCUGGCGGCAGGCCUAACACAUGCAAGUCGAGCGGUAGCACAGAGAGCUUGCUCUCGGGUGACGAGCGGCGGACGGGUGAGUAAUGUCUGGGAAACUGCCUGAUGGAGGGGGAUAACUACUGGAAACGGUAGCUAAUACCGCAUAACGUCGCAAGACCAAAGUGGGGGACCUUCGGGCCUCAUGCCAUCAGAUGUGCCCAGAUGGGAUUAGCUAGUAGGUGGGGUAAUGGCUCACCUAGGCGACGAUCCCUAGCUGGUCUGAGAGGAUGACCAGCCACACUGGAACUGAGACACGGUCCAGACUCCUACGGGAGGCAGCAGUGGGGAAUAUUGCACAAUGGGCGCAAGCCUGAUGCAGCCAUGCCGCGUGUAUGAAGAAGGCCUUCGGGUUGUAAAGUACUUUCAGCGAGGAGGAAGGCGUUAAGGUUAAUAACCUUAGCGAUUGACGUUACUCGCAGAAGAAGCACCGGCUAACUCCGUGCCAGCAGCCGCGGUAAUACGGAGGGUGCAAGCGUUAAUCGGAAUUACUGGGCGUAAAGCGCACGCAGGCGGUCUGUUAAGUCAGAUGUGAAAUCCCCGGGCUCAACCUGGGAACUGCAUUUGAAACUGGCAGGCUUGAGUCUUGUAGAGGGGGGUAGAAUUCCAGGUGUAGCGGUGAAAUGCGUAGAGAUCUGGAGGAAUACCGGUGGCGAAGGCGGCCCCCUGGACAAAGACUGACGCUCAGGUGCGAAAGCGUGGGGAGCAAACAGGAUUAGAUACCCUGGUAGUCCACGCUGUAAACGAUGUCGACUUGGAGGUUGUUCCCUUGAGGAGUGGCUUCCGGAGCUAACGCGUUAAGUCGACCGCCUGGGGAGUACGGCCGCAAGGUUAAAACUCAAAUGAAUUGACGGGGGCCCGCACAAGCGGUGGAGCAUGUGGUUUAAUUCGAUGCAACGCGAAGAACCUUACCUACUCUUGACAUCCAGAGAACUUAGCAGAGAUGCUUUGGUGCCUUCGGGAACUCUGAGACAGGUGCUGCAUGGCUGUCGUCAGCUCGUGUUGUGAAAUGUUGGGUUAAGUCCCGCAACGAGCGCAACCCUUAUCCUUUGUUGCCAGCGGUUCGGCCGGGAACUCAAAGGAGACUGCCAGUGAUAAACUGGAGGAAGGUGGGGAUGACGUCAAGUCAUCAUGGCCCUUACGAGUAGGGCUACACACGUGCUACAAUGGCAUAUACAAAGAGAAGCGACCUCGCGAGAGCAAGCGGACCUCAUAAAGUAUGUCGUAGUCCGGAUUGGAGUCUGCAACUCGACUCCAUGAAGUCGGAAUCGCUAGUAAUCGUAGAUCAGAAUGCUACGGUGAAUACGUUCCCGGGCCUUGUACACACCGCCCGUCACACCAUGGGAGUGGGUUGCAAAAGAAGUAGGUAGCUUAACCUUCGGGAGGGCGCUUACCACUUUGUGAUUCAUGACUGGGGUGAAGUCGUAACAAGGUAACCGUAGGGGAACCUGCGGUUGGAUCACCUCCUUACCUGAAAGAA
rnacentral:rRNA from 1 species